rnacentral:tRNA from 1 species
UGGGGCGUCGUCAAGCGGUAAGACAACGGACUUUGACUCCGUUAUUCGUAGGUUCGAAUCCUUCCGCCCCAG